CUUCUUUUUAUUGUUCGAGGUUUUUCCAACCGCUAUAUUGCAAAAGUGUAGUCUAAARCAGACCAAUUUUGAMGAAAUKUACUUGAAAGCUCUUCUACUUUUGCUUUGCCUGUUUGUUGCAAAUAUAUCUUCUUUGCCUCAACAUGAAGACGAGGCGCUAGAUGAAAUCCUGCCAAUGUCUCCUAAUUUAGAAACAAAGAAGAAAGAUGCCAUUUUUGUUGAUGAAGAUUUGAAGCCUGUGAAGUUGUCCCAAAAAAAACAGGCAUUUUGCUGGCUGGUAAGAUGCUAAAUUUACACUUGUUCAGGGGCAGCUCGUUGGGAUACACAUUGUCAGCUGUCAUAAUGAAGUUUUACAAGGAUGCGCGUCAAGCAUUCCAAAGUAUGGAAGGAGAUUGUGUGCGCCAGUAAAGGUCACCUUCCCAGAUGGAAAUGCCUACCCAGUAAGCUGUAAAUGUAAGGCGUAAAUAAAAAACGAGAGCAAAUUAAAA